rnacentral:tRNA from 1 species
AGGGAUAUAGCUCAGUGGUAGAGUGCCUGCUUAGGAUGCAUGAGGUCUUGUGUUCAAUUCCCCGUACCUCCA